ACUGAAUGGGCCACUCCAGAAAAAAAGAUUCUCCUUGCAAUCACACCUCCCAAAGCUAUACCCAAUCAAUGAGAGUGACUCAAAACUUUGGAUUUCCAAUCCUAAGGUAGAUGCACCAGUUAUCAAGGUGGCCAAGCACUCCACUCUACCUAUUGAUAGUAAUGCUUCUCUUAGGCAUCCUAUGAACAAGAGAAUUGAUGCCAAC